UACGUAGGUGGCAAGCGUUGUCCGGAUUUACUGGGCGUAAAGCGCGCGCAGGCGGUCGACCAAGUCGCGUGUGAAAGCCCCCGGCUCAACUGGGGAGGGUCACGCGAUACUGAUCGACUCGAAGGCAGGAGAGGGUAGUGGAAUUCCAGGUGGAGCGGUGAAAUGCGUAGAGAUCUGGAAGAACACCAAAGGCGAAGGCAGCAUUCUGGCUCGUAUCUGACGCUCAUGUGCGAAAGCUAGGGGAGCGAACGGG
rnacentral:rRNA from 1 species